UCUGAUAUCAGUUUUCCAUGCAUCAACACAUGAACUGGGGCACCUGUAAUAAAUAUUUUCCUUUUGCGAUGAUACAGAUGUUCAUCAACACUCGAGAGGAGUCUUCAUUCAUGUUAGAUGUCCCUGGUUUCAAAGAUGCAUGCAGUCGAAGCAAAAGGACGAAGCCACAGAACGGUACCCUUCUUGUUGCUGCUGAAGUGAAACCUAGAGAUAAAUUUGUUCUCUCUGUUAGUUCAGAGCAUUGGAAUUCAAAAUAACUGCAGUUACAUACAUGUCAGAGGCUUGGGUACCCACGAUAAAGGAAGAUGCUAUACAACCUGACAAGGCAAGGAUAUUAACAGACGUGAAGGCAGUCUUCAUACAUGCACAUGUUACCGGUAGAUGUCCCCGGUAUCACUGAGGGAAAUGCAGUUGAACCAGGACUGGUCCACAGAAUGGAUGGGAAUAUAAUGCGGUUACUUAUCCAUGCACGGCUACCCAAUAUGAAGGAAAAUGUUGGACAACCAAUUGCAAAGAAAAUAACAAGAUGACACGGAAGAAUGUUUAACAACACAUACAGGGAGGAAGUCUGUGGUGUCCCAGGUGUUGUCAGUGGAAAUGCAAGAUUGUUCUGCAGAAGGACUUCAUCAAAAUACCAAGAUGAUCUGAAAAACUGCAUACAAUAGGACAUGAGAAGUACUAUAUGUGUACAAGGCCCAACACUUUUUUCAAAAUUACCGCAGAAAUUGUGAUUACAAGUUUCCGAAUUAUGUGAUGUUUUCCACAUUCACAAGAGCCUCAUAUUUUGUGUUCCCUUGUCUUCUUAAGUAUGUCUGGAAAUCUGGGCCAAAAAACACCUCACCGAUUUUAUAUACAUGUAAUACACAAUAGUAAAAUCUCCUAAAGCACAUACAAAAGCAGUUUUUCCCUUAAUGUGUCAUAAAUGAAGAGAAGGACACUUGAGCAUUCAACUCUGAUAAUCCUUUAACCUCUAGACCAGGUUUCAUGUUCAAUACUUUGAGUAUAUUUUUCAACAUACACUUAAAUUCCACAUUCAGAGUUCUGAUGUGCACUUGCAGAUUUUUCAAAUAGGCAACAAGAAGUUGUACUUUUGAAGGAAUUGUGUGAAAUUGAUGUAUGUGUUAGUUUCUUCCCAUCUUUAAAAUUGACAUUUCUAAGUUUGUGUAUACCAAUAUCCCUAACAAUUCCCAUUCCUCUGAUUUUAAGAUUUUACAUACACCCUAGACCGUCAGGGUUGAUCAAAUGUAAACACAACAGAAGAAGAUCAUCAUUCGCGCUAUCAAACCCUUAUGAGAAAACUGAACUGCUCCCUCACAUGAUGAACUUCAACAUUUCGUAGUAGUACUACCUGAUUGAUAUUAAAUUGUACGUUCCAACAAAGCAACAGUUACAAACACUGGUAGUCUAUUAAUUAUACGAGCUUAAGGUACACAAAAUAAAUUCAGUGCACAUAUUUGAAAU